rnacentral:lncRNA from 1 species
CCUGUACCCAUCCCCAUGUCUCCCCGCUUGCUCUGAGGGCCUGCACUCACAAGGUGGGGGUCCCCAGUGUGAAGACACCCUGUGGAGCUGCUGUCCCUCACACUGGGCCUCCCCAGGACAGGACGGACGUCACCCGGCCCCACCAGAACAGAGUGCUUCCCAUGGGGCUCCCAGGCAGGCCACUCAGCUGGAUUUUGUGAGCUCUGGAGGCCCAAGAAUCCUGAGCCUGGUUCCUGGAUGCCAUCACCUGCCCAGGUUGGGCCAGCAGGGACCCAAACCUCAGGAGAAAAUAAGAAUCUGCCUCCGACAGGUCCCAAACUGCGGGAAAGGAGCUGAGCUGUGGGGCCCUGGGCCCUGGCAGGGGAGGCGGCGCUCAUGCCACCCUUUAUUUCCACUUCAUGUUGGAAAGGGUUUUGUUCUGCUUCGUUUUUUCCAGGUGGAAAUGCCGGGUGGGCGGUGCCUCUUAUUUCUUGGCACUCGCUUGCUUUCCCCCUGCAGGGCGUCUGCAUUCGUUUUCCUCUUUAUUGGUGGUUUCGAGGGCCUUGGUUAUAUUGUUCCUUGUUGUUUUCUUCACGUUGGUGGUUCCUUGAGCCUUUUGGCCUUGUGGCUUCAGAGUCAUUGUCCCAUCUGGAAAUUUUCCAGCCAAUGUUUCCUCUGAUCGUUUUCCUGGGGAUUGCAAUUGCACACAUCGGCUCAGGCCACUUGACGUCUCCCACGUCUCACUGAGGCCGUCCAUUCACUGUUUGGUUUCUUCUGUCUCCUUUCACUCUGUGCUUCACCUGGGUGGUUUCUGUUGCAAGUCUGCAAGUCUGCGGGCCGAGCCUCCGGUAAUGUCCAACCUGAUAUGGACCCCAUGAUGUAUUCCACACCUUAACCAGGGCCGAGUUUUCAUCUUUGGAGGUUAGACACUUUCAUGUCAUUUACAUUUCCAGUUCACACUCUGUUCCCCCCUGGUGCUUCCCCUGGUGCUACAGACAGUAGCUUUUAACAGUCUUGUAU